CAAAGCACUUUGAAGAGAGAGUUAAAGAGGACGUGAAACCGAUGAGGUGGAAACGGACAGAGCUGGCGUAUCUGGCCUGUAUUCAGCCGUGGGCUCGCUGGCGUCAGGGAUGCCGCUCUCCAGAUUGGGACGGUGGCCUGUCUGCCGGUGGGUUUGUGGUGCAUUUGCAGGUGGAGUGCGCCGAGGCGCUCGGGUGCAGCGGCAUGAGCCCAGUUUUGAGGCCAGCCUCGCAAGAGGUCUGGUACCCGGACUGUUGGGGAGUGCUGUUUGCCCUGGGUGUACAAAAAGGGUAAUGGUCUCGGGCCCGGGUGGGUGCCGAGCUGGCAGUCGGAGGCGGUCGCAUGCGACACGUGCCAGCGGUCAGUUCGGUCCUGCUCGAGCUCACAUCUCUGCCCGUCCUCGGUGUAAAAGCCGGUCAUCUGUCCGACCCGUCUUGAAACACGGACCAAGGAGUUUAGCGUGUGCGCGAGUCAUUGGGCGUUGAAAACCCAAAGGCGCAAUGAAAGUGAAGGUCUCCCUUGCGGAGCUGAUGUGUGAUCCUGGGCGCUGCGGUGCCCGGGCGCAACAUAGUCCCGUCCCGACCGCUUGCGGUGGGGCGGAGACAGAGCGUACGCGCUGAGACCCGAAAGAUGGUGAACUAUUCCUGAGCAGGAUGAAGCCAGUGGAAACUCUGGUGGAAGUCCGAAGCGAUUUCUGACGUGCAAAUCGAUCGUCUGAACUGGGUAUAGNNNUAAUUUGGUCCA
rnacentral:rRNA from 1 species